GUGCUCACUUCGACAGCACAUAUAGUAAAAUUGGAAGGAUACAGAGAAGAUUAGCAUGGCCCUGAGGAAGUAUGACAAACAAGUUCAUGAAGAGUUCCAUGUUUUA
ensembl:snRNA Rnu6-249 RNA, U6 small nuclear 249